AAAAACUGGAUCAACGUUUCAGUCCCACAUAGAUCUAUGAUCCUGAAAAAAGUCCUUAUGCGGGACUGAAACGUUGAUCCAGUUUUU